rnacentral:siRNA from 1 species
UGAGGUGGUCCCAUGCCAUUU